rnacentral:misc_RNA from 1 species
GUAGGUGAACCUGCGGAAGGAUCAUUCACACUUUACUUAACAGUCUGUAUCAUUAUAUAUAUGUACAUGUAUGUAUAUGUAAUGUGCAGCUGCCAUACCAACACAUACCCAAAUAGAACCCCUACCCCAUUCGCUUUUUUAAGUAAAUAUUGGGCCGCAUACGCGAGAUAGUUGGUUGCUGCUAACUAUCAGUAUCGGAUGCAGUGUCCGUGGUACUAUCUUCGCUUGCGAUGGUGUGCCAUUUAUUACC